GAUGAACGCUGGCGGCGUGCCUAAUACAUGCAAGUCGAGCGAACAGACGAGGAGCUUGCUCCUCUGACGUUAGCGGCGGACGGGUGAGUAACACGUGGAUAACCUACCUAUAAGACUGGGAUAACUUCGGGAAACCGGAGCUAAUACCGGAUAAUAUAUUGAACCGCAUGGUUCAAUAGUGAAAGACGGUUUUGCUGUCACUUAUAGAUGGAUCCGCGCCGCAUUAGCUAGUUGGUAAGGUAACGGCUUACCAAGGCAACGAUGCGUAGCCGACCUGAGAGGGUGAUCGGCCACACUGGAACUGGGACACGGUCACAACUCCUACGGGAGGCAGCAGUAGGGAAUCUGCCGCAAUGGGCGAAAGCCUGACGGAACAACGCCGCGUGAGUGAUGAAGGUCUUCGGAUCGUAAAACUCUGUUAUUAGGGAAGAACAAAUGUGUAAGUAACUAUGCACGUCUUGACGGUACCUAAUCAGAAAGCCACGGCUAACUACGUG
rnacentral:rRNA from 1 species